GGAUUGAGGUGGGUACAAUUUGGAUUUCAGCCCAUUAGCAGGGUGACUGGUGGUAGUGUAGCACUAGGCCACUAGCUAGUGAGCAAGAAGGUACAUGAGGUUUAGAAAGCAUAACAAUCCAAAUCCAUUUUCGAACUCUGAAUGUUCAAUGGCCGAUUAUCACCGUGUGACCCUACGGUUAACUAGCGUCUUUUAUUGUUACCCUCCAUUGUUAAGAAUGUUAUCAAUAUAGCAUGCAUCAACUGAGAGCACGCAACGAAUCGUGGUAUCUACUCGUGCGAAUAUUGUUGACCUCAACGCAUCCAAAUUCGUAUUACCUACUUGAGUUAUUUUGUUUUUUUUCGUGUAGGUGUUUGAGAUAUGUCCCACUGCAAACGUAUAGGCGUGUUUUAGGGUGGAUUAUUAGAAGGGCGUGAAUGUUUUUAGAGAAGUUGAGGGCCACGACGAGUAGCAUUUGGGUUUUGGGGGAGGGGUAAAUUUUUUGAAUUCGUAUAUAUGGGACAAGUUUGGCAAAGCAUGGCCAACAAACGAGGCAUUGUGGCCAAGAGCUUUUGUAACCUACAGCAUAGGUGGGUUUUAAGAGGAUCAAAAUCCAUUUUUGUUUGUUCGCCUGAUAUAAUGAAGUGAGGAAGUCUUUAUUUUUGGGUUUAAUAUAAGGUAAUGACUUAAUGGCAACCGGCCGUAUUUUUGCUAUUCGGAACGGCCGGCUCCACCUAGGAAUCAUCUGUACGGUUUCGGCCUCCCCACUCCCACUUUCGCAUCCUAUUACUUUGCGCUGCUCCAUUUCCGUUCCCCAUUUUUUUCCCCUUCCGCUCCUCUCUCUUCCUGAUCCAGAGCAGUGCCGCAAGGAAGCGGCUUGGCUCCAUGUCUCCACCCCGACGACGACCCACCGUGAGCGAUUGAGGCGGAUUGAGGCUUGCGGCAGCGGAUCGAGACGACAGGAAGAGCUCCAUAUGGAGGAUCUCGUCCCAGGUAGCAUGCGAGCGAUUGAAAGCGCGGUGCUCCCUGUUUUGGCGAGCGCGGUGGAGCCCCUGCGGCAGCGAAUGCGGAGGAGCGUGUCCUCAUCUUCGGAUCUUCCUCAACAAGCCAAAACGGAGGCAAGGAGGGCUCGAGGUCGAGGGGGUCGGAGGCGGAUUUUGCCGUCGGCGCUUCUCGUUCCAAGCACAACCUACGCCGCUGCCUCGUAGCCUUCGUCUCCUUCGUGUGCCGCUGCUCCUCUCGCUCCCGGGAGCCCAGAUCUAGUGGCGAAGAUAAGUUGUGUCACACCAUUGCGUCGCUUCAGGUCGGCCACCCCAAACCCUAGCUCUGCUAGUUCACACACAAGGUAUGGAUGUGAGUUUCUAGAUCGUCUUCUCCUUCCCCUUCGGGUUCCUAGGCACACGCAUGCGUGCGGGGCAUUGAAUUCGCAUCGGGUCAUUGAAUUUGCGUCCGUGGCUAGCUCUAUUUUUUGACGCAUCCUGUUCAAUUAUGCGUUUCUGGUGUAGAUGCCUAGAUUGUGUGUCUAAUUCUCAUGGUUAGGUGCUUGGUUGGUCCUAUACACUAGUCACCUAGGUUUUGAUUCCGUUCGAUUUGUAGCUAUUUGGGGGGGGGGGGGCUGGUAGCAUUGUUUCUGUAUUCUGCUCGUGUUGUUUCUCUAAAUGUUGUAUUAGUUUGAAUUUUGAUCUACUUGCUUAAUGUUGAUUUUCCAUGCUAUUAAGGCACUAAUUUUGUGAACACAUUGAAAUUUGUUGAUUGUUUUAUUUAGAUGAUUCUGCCAAACAUUGUGUCAUGAGCAACAUCUGCAUAUAAAUUAGGUUAUCUUUCCCAUUUUCAGUCACAAGGAUUAUUUUGAUCCUAUUAUCUCCUGAUAUCCUUAGUACUGGAGCCACGUGCCCCCUCCUCCGUCGCCCCUGAUGAGUUGCCGAUGGGUUGAGGCCACCAAAAUAUUUACAUGCAGUAUCCUUUUGUUCAACUUAUUAUGCAGAGACUGUUCAUCGAAUAGCCCAUAUUUAUAUGCAUGGCAAUAGGCAUUCUUUAGCACUGAUUAACUCACCUGGUUUAUUAGAAACUUUAGACCAAUGUGUCUUAGUUAAUUUAUCUGGGUGGUAAUUUUCACUUUAGUUUUUUUAGAGAUUUGAUACAAUGCAUCUCGGACAGAAGUGGCAGCAUGGAUGUGCUCCAUCAUCCAAUGUGAAGGUUACAUUGGCUCCCCCACCAUCACUAACUUUUUCAUUUGCUAGCACCAAUUACUAUGCCAAGAGCACAGAAGCACAACAAGUCAUGAUGCGAUAUCAUCCAAUGUAUGUUUUUGUAUGUUUCAGCAUUUGCUGGUUGUGAAUUUGAGGCCCUGGAAAGGACAUACUCUUUUGCUGCUAGCUUGAAGCGGGAAGGGCUGCCUCCUCCUGUUAAGAAAUUGCAGAAAGCUUGGUGUUCGCGGUGGCUUGAGAGUUCGUAAGAUCGUCAUCGGCAAGAAAUUUAGUUGCAGCUCAAUCCCAAUUUGAUUCAUGCACAGCUUGGUAGUAGUUGUAGUAGCUCCAAUAUUCUGUCUGAUCAGCACUACACUGGAGGCAAUCACAGCAUGUAUGCUGGUAGUUUUGCAAUUUUAAUAAUGUCUAGAAUUUAGAUAGGCAAAAAUGCCUUUGUAUAUAUUCUGAUUUGCUUACCGGUUUUCAAACCUUUGCUUAUGAGAUCCCAAAAAUUACUUUUUUAUUGUACUUGUUGAAGCAUCCAGAAGCAAGGAAAUUAGGAGGAUUGGUGGUACAA